CCAGCAGUACCCCUAUCUCCACAAUGACGGACAGCAAUGGAAAUUACGCUGCCAUAAGCAUACUGAAUAUUUCCAGGGAAAGCUGGGAUCAAGAGGAAACAUAUACCUGUCAGGUCAAUCACCAGGAAAAAAUGUUCAAGGAGAAUAUAAGUAAAUGUAAAGAUCCUCUCUUACUACCUGAUGGAUACAUACAAAAACCAUCAUUUAAAGACUUAUUUGUUUUAAAAACUGCCAAUGUUUCAUGUAAAACGAAUCUUCCUUAUGUUAACAUACGCUGGAUGCUUAAUGGAAAGGAAAAGCGGAGCUCCUACAAGGGAAAACAGAAACCUGGCAAUUCGACAUGGGUGGAGAGCACAUUGCAAAUAAGCUUAGAAGAAUGGAAAACAGUCUCAAGCCUCUCCUGCAAAUUGCAUCCACCCAAACCGGUACUGCAAAGAAAGAUGACCAUUACACGGUCAAAUGAUGCAAAAGAAAUGAAGACUCCAUCUGUAUACUUACUGCCUCCUACUCCAGAAAGUAUAGCAGUCAAAGACAACCUCACUUUGGUAUGCUUGGUGCAAGACUUUUACCCGGAAGACCUCUUUGUGACCUGGGAGGCUAAUGGUAAAACCAGCAAGAAUGAUGUUCCAGAUUCCAGUUCAAUUAGUUGCAACCACAGAGAAAAACACUGCAUGUUCACCAGUCAGCUGCCAAUCCUAAAGAGUGAAUGGUUAAUAGAUACAAGUUACUCCUGUCUUGUUGCCCAUAUCUCAUCUGGUGUCUACAUUAGAAAGAACAUUAGUGCUGAAAGCAUAAAAUUAGAAUAUCUUCCUGUGAAACCUGAACAUUACAUCGUGAAACCAUCCUUCAAGAAUGUCUUUGAUACCAAAAUUGCAGAGGUCAAAUGUGAAACCAAUGAAGAUAAAAAUAGUCUAAGCUGGCUUGUUAAUGGCACAGAAAAGGCAGAGCUCUGGGAAAGAACAGAUAAACAAAAUAUGAAGGGGGAAGAGAAAUGGAUUGAAAGCACAAUAAAGAUCCCAUUGGCAGACUGGAAAGCAUUAUCAACCUUGUCCUGCAAAUUAAGUCAAACCCAAGAACUUCAAAAUAUAACUAAUCCAAACGUGAUGAAAAGACCAAGAGUAUACAUACUCACAACCAAUGAUGCCAAUGGGACAGAAGAAGAGCAGAUGAGUUUAAUUUGUCUUGUAAAAGCAUUUUAUCCAGAAGACAUUUUUGUAACCUGGAACGUCAAUUACACCAUAAUCCAGGAGGAUAUUCCAAGCCCGAAAGAUGUCACAUGCGACCACGAGAGCCAACAAUGCUCAUUUGUCAGUGAGCUGUCCAUUUCAAAAGAAGACUGGGAUGCAGGAAAGAUAUACAUGUGCCAAGUGGCUCAUAUCUCCUCUGAAAUCUACUACAUUAAAAAUGUCAGCAAUGUUAUUGGUGAAACUACACAACCAAAUAAACCUUUAUCCACUAACAAUUGUUCUUUCUACCAUGAUGAUGGGGGAGAAGACUUAAGUGAGUCAGAAGAAAUAAACAGUAUAUGGACCACAUCAUCAACUUUUAUUGCCCUCUUUCUGCUGACAUUAAUCUACAGUAGUUGUGUCACUUUUGUUAAGGUUAAAUGAAGGUAAAAGCUCAAACUGUGAAGU